rfam:Streptomyces sp. IB2014 011-1 STIB_7, whole genome shotgun sequence.
AAGAGGAAGCCGGUGCGAAUCCGGCGCGGUCCCGCCACUGUCACCGGGGAGCACUCCCCCACACCGGAUGUCACGGCCCUCGCACCGCGGGCUGGAAGGCCGGGGGAACUGCGGAUCCGGGGAGCCAGGAGACUC